AGCAGCCGCGGUAAUUCCAGCUCCAAUAGCGUAUAUUAAAGUUGUUGCAGUUAAAAAGCUCGUAGUUGAAUUUCGGAAUCAAUGGAUCGGUCAUGCCACUCGGUGUGUACUGGUUUGAUUGGUUCUCACCUUCUAAGGAACCGUGAUGUCAUUAAUUUGGUGUCGCGGGGAAUUAGGACUGUUACUUUGAAAAAAUUAGAGUGUUUAAAGCAAGCUCACGCUUGAAUACAUUAGCAUGGAAUAAUGAAAUAGGACAUUGUAUUCUAUUUUGUUGGUUUCUAGGAUCGAUGUAAUGAUUAAUAGGGAUAGUUGGGGGCAUUAGUAUUCAAUUGUCAGAGGUGAAAUUCUUGGAUUUAUUGAAGACUAACUACUGCGAAAGCAUUUGCCAAGGAUGUUUUCAUUAAUCAAGAACGAAAGUUAGGGGAUCGAAGACGAUCAGAUACCGUCGUAGUCUUAACCAUAAACUAUGCCGACUAGGGAUCGGAUGAUGUUAAUUUUAAUGACUCAUUCGG
rnacentral:misc_RNA from 1 species